UACAGGGGGUGCAAGCGUUGUUCGGAAUCACUGGGCGUAAAGAGUUCGUAGGCGGACCAAUUUAGUACAGGGUUAAAGUCCCGGGGCCUAACCCCGGAUCUGCUCUGUAAACGGUUGGUCUAGAGUAUUGGAGAGGAUAGCGGAAUUCCCGGUGUAGCGGUGAAAUGCGCAGAUAUCGGGAGGAACACCAAUUGCGAAGGCAGCUCGCUGGGACGUAACUGACGCUGAGACGCGAAAGCGUGGGGAGCAAACAGGG
rnacentral:rRNA from 1 species